GAAUCAAUUUUUUCUUUUACACGAUCGUUUGAGUUCAUUUGUCGCUAGGUCUUCAAAAAAUAAAUUUAAUGCAUAUAUCUCGCAGUGUAUAGAAUCGUCUACACUCCAAAUAAAUCGCUUAGACUUGGAAAUUGAACUAUGCGAGUCUCAGUUGUCUGCAGUUCAUAAAGCAUUCGGGGGCAGGGACACAAAUUACAAGCGCUCUAUGUUCAGCAUUAUGCAUAGUCAGCAACUUUUCAGGAACUUUGCUGUGCAAACUGUUGGCAAGGCCUGCUGCCGUCUAUCCGUAACCCACUGCCCGCGUCCUGCUAGCUGGCACAUGCCAAAUAGCAGGACUCGUAUACCACCUGCGUGCUGCCUCCAUUGUAAGUGAUGCAAGCGACGAUAAAAAGGCAGCAACGAGUAUCCAAUACAAUGCGCUUAGUGGCGUCAAUAUGGCCGCACAAUUCAUACAUUGUAAUAUCGAUUACGAAGCACUCGAACUCGAAACACGUUACCCACAUGACUCACACAGACACACAGGCACACACACAAUAUACAUAUAGAACAGUUACGAGGCAACUUCUGUCCCUCCUGCAGUUGAACUCAGCCACUUGAGCCCAAAUGCCGUGUGGCUUGUAGCUGGGCCACGCUGGGUAUGCGUAUACGUAUUAAUAAAGUGCUGGAGGUGGCGGCGCACAUAAUUGCAGUCAUGAAAAGCAUUAUAAUACACAUCCACCCACUUUGCACACCUUCAUGAGGACAUUGUGGGGAAACUGAGGGCUGACAAACCACAGUCUGGGCGUCUGGGUGCGCGCAUUGAUUGAUUAUAUCAUUGCCGAUUGAUCGCUUGAGUGCCGGAAUCAACUUUAAGCUGGCAGUAGUUUUGCAAUGACAUCAUUUGCUUGCGAGCAGCCCAUCGAUCGGAGGUGAAAAACGAGUAGAGCUGCAAAUGGAAUUCAUUGUGGGGCGACUUAUCUACAUAUUGCUUUGUUAAAUCUGCUUAGCAAGGAGAAAUAGGAGAGCGAACAGGAGUGCAAGGUGCAGCAGAAAUGAUUCAUGAUUCAUUCGUAGCCAGACGAAGGAAUGCAAAGUGGAAGGACCCGGCCAACAAAAGCUGUGAAGGAUAUGAACGGUUUGCUCGAGCAGAAAAGCAAAUAUUGUUAGACUUGUGUUGCAAAAUGUAAAAAAGAAAAAGCAAAACAAGCAUAAAAACACAGAGGAAAGCAAAGAAAAAACGCGCAGGUAACUAAGCAAAGAGCUGCAGAACAACAACAACAUAAAGCUGGGGAAGUAACAGUUAAAGCAGCAGAAAAAAAUGUCAAGGUAAAACUAAAAAAACUAGCGUCGUUCUAGCCGCCGUAACACCGGAAACGGAAAUGGCAACGCCGUACA